CCUAUCAAGUGGAUGCGUCCAUCCAUGUAAUGUCACAGGUCAAGCGGGAAAUAAUCAAAUCAAGACUGAAAAUAACGCUAGCCUAUACAAAUAGAUAUAGGUCCAAAAAUUGAAAAGGUGGAAUGGAAUAGGUCAGAAAGAAAAAGAAAACAAAUCUUGUGUCUGAUGCUGGAAAAUGUUUUAAGUUAACACAUUUAUUCAAAAUAUCGAUGCCACUGCCACGCAAAAUCCUGUUAGCGUUAGCAUGCCUAGCUGCAGUGAUAUCAUUAAAAGUGACAACCUCCAGCAGGUGAUACUGCUAACAUUAGCUCAUGUAGUGACAGUGUUAACAGCAGAGCUCUGGACCUGACUCUCUCCAUUACACAAGUGAAAAAGACAUUCUUAUGGCUUUGGACACUAAUGGAAUAAUCAACAGGAUGACUGAUGAGAGGUCUUCUCACCGCCUAAGUUGUUCCCUCUGCUGCAGGAAGUCUUUAAUUCCAGGAGCCUUGCUGAGAGCCAUGACGAGUGAUGCGUCCCAGAGCAAUAAUAUUCAAGGGGUAGUAUUUUACAACAUACUCUCUGUUGGUAUUGAAGCCUUUGGAACAUUGCUCUGCUCAUUUUCAUACAUAUUGCCUCUUUUGUCUUCUUUGGAUGCACCUCUACCAAGAUCCAUCACAGAAGGAAAGUGUUUUCUUUAAGACGUAUCUUACCGUAGUCAACACUGCUGAAAUACCCCUUUGAAGCGAUUUUUCACAGCGGCAGAAUGUGUUCAGUGCUUUUUUAAACACACACACCUCCAGAGGAACUCAGGAGCAGUCAACCUACAACACUGGCUGCCUUGGGAAUCGGCUGUAACCACCAGCGUUCAGGCUUUUUUUCUUCCCUGUACUCAAUAUAAAUUGUUGCAACAAACAGAACUAAAAACAAGGCUCUUUGUUUGAAAUUACCACAUCCUGAUUAUAUGCUAUUUCCUGAGUCCACGUGACUUUAAUUUUUAUAUAUAUCAGGUAUACAGGUAUUAUUAUUACUUCAGAAUAAAAGCAAUCAAGUGGUGCUAAUACUGUUAGAUGGCUGUUCAUGACCUCCUUUGGAGAAGUGAGUGCUAAAAUGUGCCAGUGGAAACAAUUGGCACCUACUCUCACAAAAUAAUUGCUGGCAUGGGAGUAAAUUCUAUUAUCAUCAAAAUUAAAACUCACACUCAAGCACCUUUCAUUAAACAAAACUAAUGAAAAUGUUUUAAGAGAAUGGGGUUUUUGGAGUUAUUAAUUAAUAUAUUUCCAAUCACAAAGAGUUUUCCUAAAUGGAUAUGUAGUGGUUUGGAAAAGCAUGUCCUCCAAAAGCAAAAUGUGCCUUCAGAGUUCAUGCUGUAGAGAUUAAGAGCCGAAAGGUUACUAACCCCGUUUCUUAGUGUAAUCCACUGUAAAGCCUCAAAGUUAAGCGUUGUACAAGACACCAUAUAGGGAUACUUGUGUGAAGGAUUAUAAGGUGUCAUCAGAUAACCAACCCACACAAACCAUGAGCUGAACCACAAGAGAAGACAACAUCCCAGCGGUCGACUCAAAGCACCUCGGGCCAAAUCUGCAGCCACAGAUAACAGCAUGGCCUCAGCAGUCUGCAGAGGGUAAGGAGGACUUCACUGUUCCCAUAUGAAUUUGACCACCAAAGGUGACCGUGGAAAGAGAUCCUUAUCCUUGAAUGCUCACUCCACUGUCAGUUGACAUUCAUCUGCUGGCAAAGAGCCCGGCACUUGAGUUGUUAGCGUGUGGAGUGGACAUCCCAGGCCUGACCUGCCAUGACACUGCAGUAAUACAGUUUCAUUGGGAAAUAACAUAAGGCGGGUGGAAGUCCUUGUCAAGCUAAACACCACCUUGCAGUCUGCUUGACACGUUGGCAGCUUCCAGGGUGUUUUAUUUAGACGCAGCAGUUUGUGCAGUACAGCUAAAACAGAGGAAAAGGUAUUAUACUCUAGGGAGUGCAUUAAAAAAAGACCAAAACAAAAAGCAGGAAAAGUACUUUACGAGGUCUGACCUGAUCAGACCUCUAACAACUAGAGACAAAAGGAAAUUCACAACAUAUACUUUGUUAUAUCAAGUUACAAUUAAUACAGGUACUAAAAUAUAUUUCACCGGGAUAAAUUUUCUGCUUUUCUAUGUACGGAAGUUAUUAGCAUGAAGUAUAUAAACAAUUAAUAAAUGGCUUAUAACACACUAUAAUGUAGUCACUGUGCAGAAUGAUGUAUGUGCAGAGUU